rnacentral:misc_RNA from 1 species
GUGAGUCAUCGAAUCUUUGAACGCACAUUGCGCCCUUUGGCAUUCCGAAGGGCAUGCCCGUUCGAGCGUCAAUAAGACCCAUCAAGCCUGGCUUGGUAUUGGGCGUCGGGUUAACCACCCGCGCCUCUAUUCUCUCGGCUAGACGGUUGGAAUCUCAGCGUUGUGCAAUCAAUUCGCUAGGGAGGACCGCCGGACGCGCCGUUAAACCCAUCAAAGUCUGACCUCGGAUCGGGUAGGGAUACCCGCUGAACUUAAGCAUAUCAAUAAGCGGAGGA